rnacentral:rRNA from 1 species
AUUGAACGCUGGCGGCAUGCUUUACACAUGCAAGUCGAACGGUAACAGCACUUCGGUGGCUGACGAGUGGCGUACGGGUGAGUAAUACAUCGGAACGUGCCUAGUAGUGGGGGAUAACUACUCGAAAGAGUAGCUAAUACCGCAUGAGAUCUAAGGAUGAAAGCAGGGGACCUUCGGGCCUUGCGCUACUAGAGCGGCUGAUGGCAGAUUAGGUAGUUGGUGGGAUAAAAGCUUACCAAGCCGACGAUCUGUAGCUGGUCUGAGAGGACGACCAGCCACACUGGGACUGAGACACGGCCCAGACUCCUACGGGAGGCAGCAGUGGGGAAUUUUGGACAAUGGGCGCAAGCCUGAUCCAGCAAUGCCGCGUGCAGGAUGAAGGCGUUCGGGUUGUAAACUGCUUUUGUACGGAACGAAAAGCCCUCUUCUAAUACAGGAGGGUCAUGACGGUACCGUAAGAAUAAGCACCGGCUAACUACGUG